AAGCCGCGAAAUGUCAUCCUGACCUUUCCGGCAACCUCGCACAUGGUUGGAGGAUUAGCUGUUGAUUAGUUCUAUAGAUUGUAUUCAAUUUGUGCAUUAAAUACAAGUCCAAGUGUGCCGUUGGCGUAAUGGUCUGUUGAGCAGGGUCUACCAUUAGCACCACACACACUCCCAUCCGAAAUGGUGGAAAAUCGCCCUGCAACUUUGAAGCCAAACGGUUCGCCCAACUCUGUACGGAAACGAACGCAGGCAGGCAAACCAACACGCUACGUACAACUGCUCUCUGUCAACAGUAAUCGAAAUGAACCCAAUACCAGUGUUGAUGAUGUCCUUUGUGUAGGGGUUUUUUUUUUUGCUCAUCGAUGGAUAAACACAGGCAAGCUCGUCAGUAGACCCUUUGGAAAAACAUAAAGAGAGAAAAACGGCAUGAAACAUGGGAUACGAUACAACGUUUUCAAUUCAGUGUAACGCCAAUAAAGGAGUGAUACAUUGUGCGCAUAACAAUACCUAAUGUGACAUACGAAUGGCGCAGGAUUAAAUGAUUAUUUUGCUGAAGACGCGAAUCAUUCAGUGCAACAACAUACCUCACGGCAUUCCUCCCAUCAGUACUUUCUGCACAGUGUUUGUAUUUGUGGGAGUAUUGAGUGGUUGUUUUGUCAACUGUUGCCUACUUACACAGCAAAACCAACUCAUCUGACCUGACGCAAGCAAUUAUAACGUGAGCUUCAUAUUGGAUCGCAAAAAAAUCCCGCCUUUUCUGAUGAAUGUGCAAUGACGAGAGGUG